GUGCUCGCUGUGGCAGUACAUAUACUAAAAUUGGAACGAUACAGAGAUUAGCAUGGCCCCUGCGCAAGGAUGACACACAAAUUCGUGAAGUGUUCCAUUUUUUA
ensembl:snRNA U6 U6 spliceosomal RNA